ACUGGGAUAGCUCAGUUGGUAGAGCACAAGACUCCUAAUCUCUGGGUCGUGGGUUGCGCAAAAGAUUCCUGCAUCGCAGUC